CCUACGGGAGGCAGCAGUGAGGAAUAUUGGUCAAUGGGCGCGAGCCUGAACCAGCCAAGUAGCGUGAAGGAUGACUGCCCUACGGGUUGUAAACUUCUUUUAUAAAGGAAUAAAGUGAGGCACGUGUGCCUUUUUGUAUGUACUUUAUGAUUAAGGAUCGGCUAACUCCGUGCCAGCAGCCGCGGUAAUACGGUGGAUCCGAGCGUUAUCCGGAUUUAUUGGGUUUAAAGGGAGCGUAGAUGGGUUGUUAAGGGAGUUGGGAAAGUUUGCGGGUCAAACGUAAAAUUGCAAUUGAUACUGGCAGGAUAGAGUACAGGUGAAGGAGGCGGAAGUCGUGGAGUAGCGGUGAAAGGCUUAGAGAGAACGAAGAAAUCCGAGGGCGAAGGCAGCUGACUAAACUGCAACUGACAUUGAGGCACGAAAGUGUGGGGAUCAAACAGGAUUAGAUACCCGAGUAGUC
rnacentral:rRNA from 1 species